UACGGGGGGGCAAGCGUUGUUCGGAAUUACUGGGCGUAAAGGGUCUGUAGGUGGCCAAUUAAGUCAGACGUGAAAUCCCUCAGCUUAACUGGGGAACUGCGUCUGAGACUGGAUGGCUCGAGUGCAGGAGAGGAAUGCGGAAUUCCAGGUGUAGCGGUGAAAUGCGUAGAUAUCUGGAGGAACACCGGUGGCGAAGGCGGCAUUCUGGACUGCAACUGACACUGAAAGACGAAAGCCAGGGGAGCAAACGGG
rnacentral:rRNA from 1 species